UGCUCCGGCAAACCCACCACAGAGUGCACCAGAAGAGCUUUCCUCAUAGGGCUGAUAGUUCACAAGCAGGAACAGCAGAGGAGAAGGCAUGUGGAGGGUUGGGCAGUGCUGGGCUGUACAUGAGUCAUGGGCAGAGCACCUGCCUUCUGUUCCCUGGGCGGUCACCCACCUGGAGCUGUUUACUUGCCCACACUUUUGUGGCAGGUCUGUAGACCUGGCCUCGGCCGAGGAUGCUGAACUGUGAGAUCCCUUCCUCGGGUUCCCUUCUCCCACACUUCCAUGCUGAAGAGCAGCCAUGGAGCCACCCACCUGGCCACGAACACUGCGCUGUUUGCCCAGACCUGCCUGGGCCGGUAGAUCAGCAGCUGCAGCGUCAGCCUGAUUUUUUUUCCCUUGCUGGAUGUUUUUGUGUCGCUGGGCCAGCACCUUUGAGCGGUCACAGGAAGCAUCUCAUGUUGCCUUGUGUUCCACAGGGGCAUUGCAUGCUCAGCCACCAAGCAGCAUCCCUGUUUGCACGAAGCCUGCCUGCAUCACCAGGUCCUGUGCUCAAAGCAGGCAGAGCAUGGGCAUGCAGAAAGAGCAGCUAGGGCCAGGCAUUUGGGACAGGCCCAUCCUGCGUGUCAGUGUCACUGCACCUGGCUGGACAGGGCUUGCAGGCAGCUGGGGCAGUAUGAAGAAAAGAGGUGGUGAUGGAGGGAGCUCCCAGACCAGGCGUCAUGACCUAUGUAUCCUGACGCAGGUCACUGAGAGCUCCAAAAGCAGGGCGUCUCCAUAUUCACCUGCUGGGAAAGCCCCAGGAUGGAAAUAGAGGCUUGGGUAGAAGUGAUGGCCUGUCUCGUCUGCUGUCCCACCUCCAGCAGCAGGGAGCUAGGGAAGAGCAUGAGAAGCACAAUGGAUGGAGAGUGAUAUGUCUCCCUGGUCUCACCACCCCAAGAGACCUUCCUGCAUCCUGAAAAACAAGAUGGGGACUCAGGACAGCAAGAAGCCUUGGGAAUUUAGUCUUCCCAUGUCUUAUCAGUGAAUAAAAACAAAGAAUUGAAGGAUGA